rnacentral:rRNA from 1 species
GGUUAAGCGACUAAGCGUACACGGUGGAUGCCCUGGCAGUCAGAGGCGAUGAAGGACGUGCUAAUCUGCGAUAAGCGUCGGUAAGGUGAUAUGAACCGUUAUAACCGGCGAUUUCCGAAUGGGGAAACCCAGUGUGUUUCGACACACUAUCAUUAACUGAAUCCAUAGGUUAAUGAGGCGAACCGGGGGAACUGAAACAUCUAAGUACCCCGAGGAAAAGAAAUCAACCGAGAUUCCCCCAGUAGCGGCGAGCGAACGGGGAGCAGCCCAGAGCCUGAAUCAGUGUGUGUGUUAGUGGAAGCGUCUGGAAAGGCGCGCGAUACAGGGUGACAGCCCCGUACACAAAAAUGCACAUGCUGUGAGCUCGAUGAGUAGGGCGGGACACGUGGUAUCCUGUCUGAAUAUGGGGGGACCAUCCUCCAAGGCUAAAUACUCCUGACUGACCGAUAGUGAACCAGUACCGUGAGGGAAAGGCGAAAAGAACCCCGGCGAGGGGAGUGAAAAAGAACCUGAAACCGUGUACGUACAAGCAGUGGGAGCCUCUUUAUGGGGUGACUGCGUACCUUUUGUAUAAUGGGUCAGCGACUUAUAUUCUGUAGCAAGGUUAACCGAAUAGGGGAGCCGAAGGGAAACCGAGUCUUAACUGGGCGUUAAGUUGCAGGGUAUAGACCCGAAACCCGGUGAUCUAGCCAUGGGCAGGUUGAAGGUUGGGUAACACUAACUGGAGGACCGAACCGACUAAUGUUGAAAAAUUAGCGGAUGACUUGUGGCUGGGGGUGAAAGGCCAAUCAAACCGGGAGAUAGCUGGUUCUCCCCGAAAGCUAUUUAGGUAGCGCCUCGUGAAUUCAUCUCCGGGGGUAGAGCACUGUUUCGGCAAGGGGGUCAUCCCGACUUACCAACCCGAUGCAAACUGCGAAUACCGGAGAAUGUUAUCACGGGAGACACACGGCGGGUGCUAACGUCCGUCGUGAAGAGGGAAACAACCCAGACCGCCAGCUAAGGUCCCAAAGUCAUGGUUAAGUGGGAAACGAUGUGGGAAGGCCCAGACAGCCAGGAUGUUGGCUUAGAAGCAGCCAUCAUUUAAAGAAAGCGUAAUAGCUCACUGGUCGAGUCGGCCUGCGCGGAAGAUGUAACGGGGCUAAACCAUGCACCGAAGCUGCGGCAGCGACGCUUAUGCGUUGUUGGGUAGGGGAGCGUUCUGUAAGCCUGUGAAGGUGUGCUGUGAGGCAUGCUGGAGGUAUCAGAAGUGCGAAUGCUGACAUAAGUAACGAUAAAGCGGGUGAAAAGCCCGCUCGCCGGAAGACCAAGGGUUCCUGUCCAACGUUAAUCGGGGCAGGGUGAGUCGACCCCUAAGGCGAGGCCGAAAGGCGUAGUCGAUGGGAAACAGGUUAAUAUUCCUGUACUUGGUGUUACUGCGAAGGGGGGACGGAGAAGGCUAUGUUGGCCGGGCGACGGUUGUCCCGGUUUAAGCGUGUAGGCUGGUUUUCCAGGCAAAUCCGGAAAAUCAAGGCUGAGGCGUGAUGACGAGGCACUACGGUGCUGAAGCAACAAAUGCCCUGCUUCCAGGAAAAGCCUCUAAGCAUCAGGUAACAUCAAAUCGUACCCCAAACCGACACAGGUGGUCAGGUAGAGAAUACCAAGGCGCUUGAGAGAACUCGGGUGAAGGAACUAGGCAAAAUGGUGCCGUAACUUCGGGAGAAGGCACGCUGAUAUGUAGGUGAAGUCCCUUGCGGAUGGAGCUGAAAUCAGUCGAAGAUACCAGCUGGCUGCAACUGUUUAUUAAAAACACAGCACUGUGCAAACACGAAAGUGGACGUAUACGGUGUGACGCCUGCCCGGUGCCGGAAGGUUAAUUGAUGGGGUCAGCGCAAGCGAAGCUCUUGAUCGAAGCCCCGGUAAACGGCGGCCGUAACUAUAACGGUCCUAAGGUAGCGAAAUUCCUUGUCGGGUAAGUUCCGACCUGCACGAAUGGCGUAAUGAUGGCCAGGCUGUCUCCACCCGAGACUCAGUGAAAUUGAACUCGCUGUGAAGAUGCAGUGUACCCGCGGCAAGACGGAAAGACCCCGUGAACCUUUACUAUAGCUUGACACUGAACAUUGAGCCUUGAUGUGUAGGAUAGGUGGGAGGCUUAGAAGUGUGGACGCCAGUCUGCAUGGAGCCGACCUUGAAAUACCACCCUUUAAUGUUUGAUGUUCUAACGUUGACCCGUAAUCCGGGUUGCGGACAGUGUCUGGUGGGUAGUUUGACUGGGGCGGUCUCCUCCUAAAGAGUAACGGAGGAGCACGAAGGUUGGCUAAUCCUGGUCGGACAUCAGGAGGUUAGUGCAAUGGCAUAAGCCAGCUUGACUGCGAGCGUGACGGCGCGAGCAGGUGCGAAAGCAGGUCAUAGUGAUCCGGUGGUUCUGAAUGGAAGGGCCAUCGCUCAACGGAUAAAAGGUACUCCGGGGAUAACAGGCUGAUACCGCCCAAGAGUUCAUAUCGACGGCGGUGUUUGGCACCUCGAUGUCGGCUCAUCACAUCCUGGGGCUGAAGUAGGUCCCAAGGGUAUGGCUGUUCGCCAUUUAAAGUGGUACGCGAGCUGGGUUUAGAACGUCGUGAGACAGUUCGGUCCCUAUCUGCCGUGGGCGCUGGAGAACUGAGGGGGGCUGCUCCUAGUACGAGAGGACCGGAGUGGACGCAUCACUGGUGUUCGGGUUGUCAUGCCAAUGGCACUGCCCGGUAGCUAAAUGCGGAAGAGAUAAGUGCUGAAAGCAUCUAAGCACGAAACUUGCCCCGAGAUGAGUUCUCCCUGACUCCUUGAGAGUCCUGAAGGAACGUUGAAGACGACGACGUUGAUAGGCCGGGUGUGUAAGCGCAGCGAUGCGUUGAGCUAACCGGUACUAAUGAACCGUGAGGCUUAACCUU